CUGAGGACAGGCUGCUGUAAAGUUGUUUAUAUCGAUAUAUGUUGAUCUUUCAAAACCAACCUGCUCUGAUUUGUUUUUUUGUCGCUGCAGAAGGCAGCGAUGACUUUCGCUACUUUGGUGCCCUGUAGGUGAGAUUAUGGUUUAACCCUGACUCAAAAUGUGUCUGGAUUUGGCCAUACUGACAUUAGAAACACGACUGCUGCUUUAACUAUGAUAGAAGUCACCUGCUUCAAGCAGCUGUUCACCUGCAGAGCUGCUGCUUCUUGUCUUACUUGUAGCUGUAUUCUAACAUACAGAACAUCCAUCCUGUUACACCACUGCAUUAAGGCUGAUGUGUCAUUCUACUGCAUAAAAAAUAGACAUUGUACCAAUAAAAUUAAUUUCAACUGCUGGUGUCUUUAUGUGCAAUGAACAAUUGACCCGGUUAUUUCAUAUUUAACUUGAAACUUUGUUGGUGGCAGGGCGGGGUUGUGCCAGUCUUUAAAUGCCAAACAACUGGUCACAGUGAUUGGACAGAAUUACAAAAAAAAUCUGUGUCUGUAUCUGUGUGCAGAAUCUGUGGUUCCGUAUCACCUGAAGGUCAUUUGCUGGAGACAGUUGGAGACAAAAGUCUCUGUCCUUCAUAUCCACUGCUCGACAGCUGGUGCAUGAACGAUACAUGAAGUGUUUCCUGCAGAUGUACAGCAGCUGUUGGUGAUUACAGAGGGAGUUCUUGUAAAUGAAGUCUUGUCCUAGAGUCCCAACCUAAUAAAAGAGGAACCAGAGGAACUAUGUCCCAAUCAGGAUGGAAAGCAGUUGAUGAUGGGAUGGUGGAGAGUGUCACCAGUUUACCAAUCAUGAUGGCUCCUUUGAAAAGUGAAAAUGAUGAUAAAGAACUUCAGCCAUGGUCAUAUACGGCCCAUCUUCAUCAAACCAAAACUGAAGGCAACACAGAGGUAGAGCCUCCACCCAACAACCCAGCUAAACAGAUUAAAUCAGAAACUGAUGGAGAUGACUUUGGAGGACAAGAAAUAACCACUAAUCCAGACCCAAACAGUUAUUUACAACCAAACGGUGACAGAAAGGCUUCAGGCUUUUCUGAGAUAGAACAUUCGUCACAUUUUGGACCUGAAAUGGAAGACAAUGAUAAAAGCUGGAAUGACAACAAGGCACAUGGAUCAGGUGUAAACAGUGAUGUGGAGUCUAACACGGCCAAAAAAUCACAGAGCUGCUCUGAAUGUGGUGAAGAGUUUGACGACCAACCAACUCUCCAGAGACACUUAACAAAAAGGUCUUUGAGCUGUUUGAACAGAAAGAAAUGUUUUAGAGUGACACCCAAUCUAAAUAUCCACAAGAGAGUCCACACAGGAGACAGACCAUUCAGCUGUGAUGAGUGUGGACAUAGAUUUAGUCAAAAGGCAAACUUAACCCAACACAUGAGAAUCCACGCAGGAGACAGACCAUUCAGCUGUGAUGAAUGUGGACA